AUUGAACGCUGGCGGAAUGCUUUACACAUGCAAGUCGAACGGCAGCACGGACUUCGGUCUGGUGGCGAGUGGCGAACGGGUGAGUAAUGUAUCGGAACGUGCCCAGUCGUGGGGGAUAACGUAGUGAAAAUUACGCUAAUACCGCAUACGAUCUAUGGAUGAAAGCGGGGGGUCGCAAGACCUCGCGCGAUUGGAGCGGCCGAUAUCAGAUUAGGUAGUUGGUGGGGUAAAGGCCCACCAAGCCAACGAUCUGUAUCUGGUCUGAGAGGACGGCCAGCACCACUGGAGCUGAGACGCGGUCCAGACUCCUACGGGAGGCAGCAGUGGGGAAUUUUGGACAAUGGGCGAAAGCCUGAUCCAGCCAUUCCGCGUGCAGGAUGAAGGCCCUCGGGUUGUAAACUGCUUUUGUACAGAACGAAAAGGUUUCUACUAAUACUAGGAGCUCAUGACGGUACUGUAAGAAUAAGCACCGGCUAACUACGUGCCAGCAGCCGCCGUAA
rnacentral:rRNA from 1 species